UGAAAGCUCUUUGCGAAUCGUAUGGAGCCAGUGCUGCGAAGAUACAACAGACAUUGAUUCCCCAAUAUGUGGCUGCUUACACAGGAAGGAGCAGAGGGGCUGAAAGGAAGAGGUUGUCUUGUUGCUCAGAAGUCUAUAGCACGUCAGGAAGGUGAUAAAGUGCCCAGGAGAUGCUGAAGACCAUUCACCAAUAAAUUCAAAGGGAAAGGCCAUUUCUUGUGUCUUGGAAGGAGAGCUGAGGGAUGCUGGUGUACAGAGGAGACCGAAAUGCUGCGUUGUACAGCAGCAUGGAAGAGAACCCCCUGGGGGCCAGAGGAGGCCAGAGAAGUGCUUCAGAUCUUCCACUGCAGCAGGAACCAGCUCUGAAACAGCCUGAUGGGAUAAUUUGGAGCACAAUGUCUCGGUCUGUUGUUUCUCAUAGAUGUCAGCAGGAAUUUCUUUGCUUGCUUCUGUGGCCCAACUCUGAUCCCAUGGCUGACAACCUCUGCUAAAGAAAAGUGGGGUUUGUGGUGGAGGGUCUAUGACGUGGGAGUGCUGGGGAGGGGGCAUGUUGCCUGCUGGGAGGUCAGUUUGGCCUGAGUCCCCCUGUAGCCCUGAGGCCAUUUUUCUUCCCUUUGGGUUUUGUCUGAGGGAGACUGUGAUUUUGCUUCUGGCCAAUGCACUGUGUGCAGCUUGGGCCUCCAGGGCUGAGGAUGAACCAGAGAGAUAAGCUAUCUGCUAGCAUAAAUGUGCCUCUAGCCUUGCACAUCUUGUAGGAAAAUUUCUGGAAGGGAGGAGACAUUGAGAGAGUGGGCUUGAGCAGUACCUGCCUUGUUUCUCACCCCCUUUCCACCAGCACCCACUGCUAAGUCCUUCUGGAGGAAGGCUACGAAAUGAAAGACCUGUCAGGCUCUGUGUGACAGUCCUAGAUGACAAAAAUACAGGGAUUUACGGACUGAUGAAUGUGGGAUACUCCUGAGCCUGUGCAAACAGAAGAAACACCCUGCUUAGGCAGAGCUAAGCCCUGAGAUCUUCUAAUGACCAGGGCAGUUCUGGCUUUUUCCUUGCAGCUCCUGUAUCAGGGUGUCCUGAUACUCAUCCAUGUGCUGCAAGAUUUGAAACACAUACUCUACCUAUCAAUGUGCUAUUCUAGAAAUGGUAGGAUAGGCAUUUUUAGAACCCUCCAGCACAGUUUGGAGCAUAACUCUUAUGGACAGUAGUGAAACUUCCAGGCAGGUGAAGUGGCUGAGCCAGCAGGGGUGUUGCAAGGUGCUGCUGGGCUCUGCCACCACGGCAAACCAUGUGAGACACCGAUGACUCAGGUCUCUCCCAUAUUCCUAAUGAAAAGCAAAGGAUCUGGUAUCUUUGUAUUAAUCACUGCAAACCCAGCUCUCCACCAUUAGUAUCUUCCCAGGAUUUUGUGUAUCUUGGUGUGUUUAUAUAACCAAAUCACUUUUUGAGUGCUCUGCUGAGCAAAAACACUGGUAGCAGGCUCCUAGGAGGAAGCACCAUCAGCUGAGUAAAAACUGAAGGGCUUUUCUGUGUGACACCCAUUGCAAAGGGAAAAACCCUUGAUGACUGCACUAUCGCCAUGUGGGGUACGUAUUUUGAAAUGAGCCUGACAUGGAUGAACAAGCAGAUCCACAGCCGAGAAGAGUCUGUUUCCACUGUGCCUUGCAGAGCUUCCGUGAGCCUGGUGGCCCAUGGGAAAUGUUUAUAAGUAAGAUGCAAUGUUCCCACUAAUUUAGCAUAACACUCAGCACACCCCUGAGAGGCUGUAAGGAAGGCACUGCAUCUACUGUAGCCAAGGGGAGCCGCAUCCUCUUACUUGCUACGCUGCAGUUUCUGUGGUACCUUUUAUGUCAGGUCUGAGAUGGAGAGAGGCACUUGAGCACCAGGCAUUUUGCACCGUGGCCCCACCAUACAUGUUGCACCACGACCCCAGUCUUCACAGCUCCCUCUUUGCCCUGGGUCCUUUUAGGUCAGGUGUGUAGCUCUGCCCAGAGCCUGUGCACCUACCCCAAGGUCUAAGUCGCUGCGCUGACCGCUGCUUUUGUUUGCACAAGUUUUCAAAAGUGUCCUAGUGGACAAACUUGAUGGAUUGCCUGCCAGAAGGACCUGGAUGAUCAACUGAAGUUUUUAUUUUCGUGUAUCAAUUCCUACUUGUUUCCUAACUUUUUAACUGCCAAGUUCAGCCUGCAAACUGUUUUGGGGAGCUCUCUUUGGUAUUCCCUGUUCCUGAAGUGAAUCCCCCUUCAUCCAUACGUUUCCUGCUUUCCUAUAUAAAGGAAAACAAAGUUCUAUGUUUGAGUAAGUAGAAUACAGAGGACUAUCCAGCAGGUCAGUUUAAUGCUGGGCUACUUUCUGUUGAUGGGCAGGAAUACAUUUCUGUUUGUUUUUCUUAGUUUUUCACGCUAUUCUCUCACUGUGAGAAGUGAGCACUGCCAAGAAGAGAUGAAGACACAGCUUAGCUACAAUAAUCCAGGAGAAAUAUUCUGCAACUGUAGAGCUGCUUUUUGGGAUAAUUCCUCCAAGCUGUGCAAUUGCUGGAGUGCUCAAAGGCAGGCUUGUGGUUUCCUUAAAAGGCGCCCACACAGAUUUUGCUUCCCUGCAACGCACGUGCACAAGCCUACGUUAUUUCUGGCAAGUCCCCAUCACGUGCCUGCCAGCAGCUGCCUGCGCAAAACGUGAUGGUCGGAUGUGCAGCCAGUCUGAGAGGCCCAAAGUAUUCCUAAGUGCAAGCCCACAGAUACUGAGGAAAUGUGUCCCAUACAACUGUCUUAAAAGAGCUAGACUCAAAGUUGAAAUGUCUCUCCUCAAGUGUUGAUGGGGUAACCAGCAUCACCCGGCAUGUGGAACACCAAGGAGAGGGGACCCACUGCCACCACUGAGCUAAUAGCAGCACACCAGGUACCUCCUCUUCUCCCGCUGCCAGAAAGGCAGGUAAUUACAAUAUCCAUUUUAGAAAUGAAGAAAUCAAUGCAUACAUAGGUGGAGGAGUAGAAUUUUAAGGAUGUGUGGGCGUCUGAGAUGCAAAUGCUUUGGGAAAUACCACAACGUGCCUGAUUUCCAUCUGUACGCAUCUAAGUACUUUUACCUGACACAGAGGACUGUUUGCAAGAGCACAGGGAGCACAAGCAGUGGCACAGGAUAAACUCCCACGUUCCCUCACUGGGAAGCCCUAGCUCUUUGCGGCACCUGGGCCAGUUGCUCGUCUGUCUUUGGACCCAUUCCAAGGACAAGUGCUCCUGGGUUCCCCUGAAUGGCACCCCACAGGAUGGGGUGGGAUGGGACAGGAUGAAAUUUCCCCUUUCACCCUGCAAAGCUAGCCCACAUCGGCAGCCUCACUGAUCCUCCCAGCUCCUCCUCCAUCUAUAUAGAAAUCUAUACAAAAAUUUGGCACAUUUAUUUUUGUUUGGGAGUAGGAAACCUGUUGGUUUUGCUUACCUGAAUAUUGCCCUGGCCCAGGUCAGAUGCUGUGUGUCACCUGCUGGGUGCCGUUAAUGUUUCUGGGUAGGAGUCACAGCUGGUGCCCUACAUUCACCUCUUCCAGUCCCCACAGGACUUUGGACACACCUUUUUAUGAUGAUGACAGGAGUGUCGAAAGCUUUGCCCAAGCUGAAGUGCAAAAGAGUGCACUUUUAAGAUUACCUAAUUGGAAAAACAACUAUAAUUAUCUGUAAUAGACUCAGUAACUAUAUAUGCAAUCAUUUCUUCCCAAAGACCUUAGAACACUAGGGAAGAGAAACUUCCUGGUUUCUGUGCAAAGAAAGUGUAAUCAAAACAGUCCUUAAUAAACCAGUCUGUUUCUAACCUUCAUU